rnacentral:lncRNA from 10 species
GCGGCUGCCAUGGCAACCGCGCCGUCACUCAGCGCGCGCGCCCAGCUGAUCAAUGCCUGCGAGGCCCGGCAGUCCCAGGCUCGCCCCGGCGCGGCCGCCGGCCCGCGCGCACCUGCAGCCGCUGCACGUCUUAAGUUUCGAGUGAUUUGGGGAAGGAAGGAGGACCGAGAAGAAAAGAAAAGGGUUGAGGGGGGGGCGGGGUGAGGGGAGGAAGAGAGGACGAAGGAAAAAUGCCAGGAGAGGGAGAAGAAAGAAAUCUUCCUUUUGCAAAAGGAGGCAUAAUAUGGCUUAGAGGUUGCCAAAGCAAAAGAACAGUCCCUUUCUCUGCCAUGGGGGAGCCGGGAAGAUGUGCAGAGCCUAGCGCAAUUCGCGCCCUCAUUACCACUACAAAGCGCGGGCCAGACCAAUCCCCUUUCUAAUGCACCAUUUUCGACUGAGAACAUCAAGAGGCCAGAAACUUCCAAGUCAGCUUGCAGACGCAGACGCCUCCUGGGUCCUGGCUUUAAGAACCAGAUGCCAACAUUCCCGGACAGUUUAUGGCAUCCGGAUCCCUCAAGGGUGCUCAUCUGCAGUUGAGAGUCUAAUAAACGGCAUUAACAAAGCGUUUGAACGACUACCACGGCUUAACAGUGGCUCCUCCCCUGCCCUGCCACCAUUCGGGCCGUAA